GAGAAUGUUAUCACGGGAGACACACGGCGGGUGCUAACGUCCGUCGUGAAGAGGGAAACAACCCAGACCGCCAGCUAAGGUCCCAAAGUCAUGGUUAAGUGGGAAACGAUGUGGGAAGGCCCAGACAGCCAGGAUGUUGGCUUAGAAGCAGCCAUCAUUUAAAGAAAGCGUAAUAGCUCACUGGUCGAGUCGGCCUGCGCGGAAGAUGUAACGGGGCUAAACCAUGCACCGAAGCUGCGGCAGCGACGCUUAUGCGUUGUUGGGUAGGGGAGCGUUCUGUAAGCCUGUGAAGGUGUGCUGUGAGGCAUGCUGGAGGUAUCAGAAGUGCGAAUGCUGACAUAAGUAACGAUAAAGCGGGUGAAAAGCCCGCUCGCCGGAAGACCAAGGGUUCCUGUCCAACGUUAAUCGGGGCAGGGUGAGUCGACCCCUAAGGCGAGGCCGAAAGGCGUAGUCGAUGGGAAACAGGUUAAUAUUCCUGUACUUGGUGUUACUGCGAAGGGGGGACGGAGAAGGCUAUGUUGGCCGGGCGACGGUUGUCCCGGUUUAAGCGUGUAGGCUGGUUUUCCAGGCAAAUCCGGAAAAUCAAGGCUGAGGCGUGAUGACGAGGCACUACGGUGCUGAAGCAACAAAUGCCCUGCUUCCAGGAAAAGCCUCUAAGCAUCAGGUAACAUCAAAUCGUACCCCAAACCGACACAGGUGGUCAGGUAGAGAAUACCAAGGCGCUUGAGAGAACUCGGGUGAAGGAACUAGGCAAAAUGGUGCCGUAACUUCGGGAGAAGGCACGCUGAUAUGUAGGUGAAGUCCCUCGCGGAUGGAGCUGAAAUCAGUCGAAGAUACCAGCUGGCUGCAACUGUUUAUUAAAAACACAGCACUGUGCAAA
rnacentral:rRNA from 1 species